CCAUUAAUGUUGUCUAAUCUUUUUUAAUUAGUUCUUCACAGUGGCGAACACUAUUUGCCCACAUCUCCGGAGUGUAAUGACCAAGAGCUUUUUGCCAAGUCUCCUUGACACGACAGAUCUUUUUCUCCGAGCUGGACUGAACAUGUUUAUUGUAAUAAGUUUUUAAGAACGCCCAACAUAGUUCAAUGGGAUUAUAUUGACAAUUGUAUGGAGGAAGGCGAAGAACAGUAUGGCCAUGGUCUCUUAUUAAUUUGUCAAUUUCAAAGGAUUUUUCAAUUUGAGGCUUGUAAUAACGGAUUAUUUCCCAUAACGAUUUUUUAUUUAAGAAACUUGGAGCUUUCUCGAUUUGUUUUGAGUGAUAUGGAGCAUUAUCCAUUACUACCGCACACUUCGCACCCAAAUUAUUUAAUGCUGGAAGUAAUUGAUUUUUCACCCAUUCCAUAAAAAUAAUUGACGUCAUAUUUUUAUGAUAAUCUCUGUGCUCCGUGUUGUCACUGAGCAAGAGAUCGCAAUUUGGCAAAAACCCUGACGAAGUGCAAAAAGAUUGCAAAUCUUUUUCCUUCGCCUUCUGCUCUUUGCGGAAUACCGAAUCUUUCAUUUUCAUUUACCCAUUGAUAAACUUGGGUGCCAUUUUCGUAAA
rnacentral:lncRNA from 1 species